rnacentral:misc_RNA from 1 species
GAAAUGCGAUAAGUAAUGUGAAUUGCAGAAUUCAGUGAAUCAUCGAAUCUUUGAACGCACAUUGCGCCCGCCAGUAUUCUGGCGGGCAUGCCUGUCCGAGCGUCAUUUCAACCAUCAAGCCCCCGGGCUUGUGUUGGGGACCUGCGGCUGCCCGCAGGCCCUGAAAACCAGUGGCGGGCUCGCUGUCACACCGAGCGUAGUAGCAAUCACCUCGCUCAGGGCGUGCUGCGGGUUCCGGCCGUUAAACAGCCUUACAAAACCCAAGGUUGACCUCGGAUCAGGUAGGAAGACCCGCUGAACUUAAGA